ensembl:lncRNA
UAGGGCUGCACCAGCAGCAUAUGGAAGUUCCCAAGCUAGGGGUCGAAGCGGAGCUAUAGCUGCCAGCCUGAACCACAGCCACAGCAAUGGCAGAUCCGAGCUGUGGUUGUGACCUACACCACAGCUCACGGCAACACCGGAUCCUUAACCCACUGAGCAAGGGCCAGGGAUCGAACCUGCAUCCUCAUGGAUACUAGUGGGAUUCGUGACCACUGAGCCACAACGGGAACUCCCUUAAGAGAUUUUACAAGAAUAUCUGAAAUUUUUUUUCUCCUGCAAUCUGUGCAUAUAAAGAAUAGGAAGAGGAAACAGCAGCUAAAAACAGUCUUCUGUGAAUCAGUAGCAGAGAAAGACCUAGAUUCAAAGACUGCAGAUUUUGCAGAGGAUUAGAUUACCAGGUGAUGAUUUCAGAACUGACAGCUGAAAACUCGUUUUCUUCCAUUGGGAUGAUUUGGGCCUAUUGUCCUUACUUCUACUCUCUACCCUGUAGGAUAAUCUCCUCUUGUUUGGUAUGAAGGACUUGCAUUUGGGUGAUAGGGAAGCCAAGCUGGGCAGACAGCUGAGAGGAGAGGAAGAAGCUGGUGGUUGCUUUCCUUUCUUGAGAGUAUUUGAUGAAAGCUUUGCACCCUCUGGCUGUCAGGUCUCUUCAGGGCCUCAUAAAAUAAGUUGGCAUAUUCUGUAAAGUGACAGUUCUUCCCCCAAAAGGAAAGUUGCUUUUUCUUCAAUUAUAAAAAUAUUUUCCUUUUGAAAAAAAAAAGACACAGAGAAAAGUAUAAAAUAAAACGUACAUCAUCCAUUAUUCUAUCACCAUGAGAUGCGUGCAUACACAUACCCACACAUAGUGUAUUACCAAAGAGGGUUCACACUGCUAAUAGAUACUUCUUGGGCACAUGCGCAAUAAUGAAUUUUUCUUACUCUGGGGACAUCCCAAUAAUCAGAAUUGGGUGGGUCUGAUAUAAACAUCAAAUAAGAUGUUUAUGUUAUUUGAUAAACCAAAGCUGAUCGGUUUGGCUGUGGAUAUCUGAGCCAGCCUAGACCAAUCCAGACCACCUUCAAAAAACCGGAAAUUUGUUUCUGCUAAGGUCUCUGUCCUUUCUUUGUUUUCAGCUGUUUCAUUCUCUCUUCGUUGAUGAAAUAGCCCAGAAUGUUUCCCGUGAAUCUCUCCCCUCCUCUUCUCCCUCCUCUUCCUUUGCUCUCUUCCUCUUCCUGUCUCUGUGCCUAUGCUGGCCAGAAUCAGUUUGUCUUGCUUACAACCUGGAGAAACUUAAGGAAUACAAUAUUAUAUUUACUGCUUUCCAUGCACUGCUAACCUUUUCCAUGUGAUAAUGUGUUACGGGCAUUUUCCCAUGUCAGUAAAUACAGGAUCCCACAGGUUCGUAUGUUAUGGCACCAUAAUAUUCCACUAUGUAGAUGCACCGCAACUUACGUAACCAAAAGGAAACAGUUUUCAGCUCAUAUGGAAGUUUCCAGGCUAGAGGUCCAGUCAGAGCUGCAGUUGCCAGCCUACACGACAGCCACAGCAACGUGGGAACCGAGCCAUGUCUGUGACCUACACCACAGCUCACGGCAAUGCCAGAUCCUUGACCUGCUGAGCGAGGCCAGGGAUCCAACUGGCAUCCUCAUGGAUACUGGUCAGGUUUGCUACCACGAACCACAACAGGAACUCCUGUUUGUACCUGUUUUAUUAUUUCCUUAUGAAAAGAUCCAGAAGUGAAAUAAAUACACUUAAAACGUGUACAUUUAAGUGUUUGUACAUUUAAAAAGUGUCUGUAUAUCGCCAGAUGGCUCUGCAGAAAAGUUGCACCAGUUUACAUUACCAGUAACAGUUUGAGCACCCGACCUAGGUAUUAGAAAUCUUCCCAUUUAUUGACAUAUAUGACAAUAAUGUUUUUUACUUUGUGUGCCAUUUACUCCUGAAGAAGUUUCAAAGAGGACAUGCAGCUUGAAAGAAUGUUCCAAACUCAUCCCAAUCCACUAUCUGUUUGGGUCAGUUUCCUUUCAGAUGUCUCUUUAUGCACCAGAUAAAUAGAACAUGUAUGUAAUUUUAGAUAAUUAGGAUUUUUAAAAAAAUAAAAUAUAUUAAGCACAUCAGAAACACUCAGUGUAGAUAACCCUUCCCUUUCUCUCAUUAGAGGUAGCCACUAUCUUCAAUGUGGUUUUUAUACUUUUAAGGCAUAUUUCUAUACCAUAAUUAUAGGUGUGUAUCCAUAAAUAGCAUUAUUUUUAUUUUACCUAUUUUAAAACUUUAUAUGGCAGUUCCCAUUGUGGUUCAGUUCUGACUAGUAUCCAUUAGGAUGCAGGUUCGAUCCCUUGUCUCACUUAUUGCGUUAAGGAUCUGGCGUUGCCGUGAGCUGUGACGUAGGUCGAAGACAUGGCUAUGGUGCAGGCCAGUGGCUACAGCUCUGAUUCGACCCCUAGCCUGAGAACCUCCAUAUAUCACAGGUGCAGCCCU